rnacentral:lncRNA from 1 species
GCUGGUAUGGCAUGCAGAUGAAAUAUAGGAGUAUAUUUCACUAAACGUGACCAACUCCAGAGUACUCUGCUGUCAAGAGUCACUUCGAAGGGAUAUAGGUAUAAGUGUCCCUUCGACCUGAGAUCACCACGAUGACUUGCAAGCAACUCACUAUGCUGUGUGCCGAAGUACCUGAAUUUUUAAUUCAGUGAUGAAAGGUUUCUGGGCAUAGUCAAGUACUUGUGAAGUCAGUGUGUGAGUCAAGAUAGAAUUGAUCCCUCU